UGUUACAGUAUGAUCAUGUACAUUUAUACAGGGUUAGCACAGCUGUAAUCACAUGGUCUCACCUUCAUGGCUAGAAAACAAGCUUUGUUGAACAAAGCGCAACAGCUAGUAUCUCAAAAUAGUUUAGCAAUCAGAAACAUGAAACCAGAAUUUGCUACACUCACGAAAUCAGCUCGGUUGAACUAUGCCUAUUUUGUAGGUUUGCCCAUUUAAAAAGAGAAAUCGACAGUCUGGCUGGACCACUCCAUGACCAUGAUGUGCUUCUUUAGUUUUUUCUUGGUUGUCUUGGCUGUAUGUUUUGGAUCAUGAUCCUGUUGACCCAUCCACGAGGUUCUCACUCAACAUUUGACGGUAAGUGGUUCUAUCCAUCCUUCCAUUCACUUGGUAAAGAAGCCCUUUGUACAAAAACACCCCAAAAGCACAUUUCUACCUCCACAUUUGACAGUGAUGAUGGUGUUCUUGGGGUCAGAGACAGCAUUUCUCGUCCUCCAAACAGGACAUGUUGGGUUGAUGCCAAAAAACUCAAUUUUGGCCUCAUCAGACGACAAAACUUCUCCAAAUAACUCUCUAAAUCAUGAAGGUGUUCAUAGGCAAACUUCGGGUGUGCAUGUGUCUUCUUAAGCAGGGCUACUUUUGUGGGUUCAAAUUAGAAUCAGCUUAAAGUGAAUCAAAAACCAUAUUAUGAAUUUGAAAAAAAAAAA